UCACACCUGGCUGAGCCUCCCCCGGGGCGAUUCUGGGGACACAGCCCGAGCCAGGAGCACGGAACAGGGAACUCCCCCUCGAGGUGAACAGACAGAAAUAAAACCUGUGAUGAAAACUCAGCUCCACACAAGGUUUGCAGGAGGGGUUUCCCUCGAGGAUCUGACAGCCCCAGCUGGGAAGUGCAGCUGCCUUGGGUCUCCUCAGCUCCAGGAGCACUUUUGGGAUGGCUGGAGCCACGGAGGAGCUGGGGACAAGGAGUUCAUUCAACAGCUGAACAUCCCAUCCCAGCUGGAAAAGGCCAAGGGCUAAAACAUCCCGGCAGGUCCGUGGGUGCCACAGCAGCUCUGUGAUGUGGAGAAAUGGGGGGAGCCCCCACUGGGCAACUGAACCCCUCAGAGUGAGAGUUCCAGGAGAGGAAUGGCUGAGUCCAUCCACGUCUCCAUCAGCUGCCCAGGGACAGCUGCACCAAGCAGAUGGAAAGGAAAUGUUCUGUACAUUUUAUUUCAAUAAAGACAUAAGACAAACAGCGUAAAGAUGCCCAGAUGCCCUAAAGAUAAAUACAUUUAAAAGAUUCUCAUUAAAAUGAAUCUGUAGUAUUUCUUUCCUGCAAGCAAAAUACCUUUCUUUAAAUACAAAAAAAAUCAGUAUUCUGAAUUGCAAAUGUUUUCACUUUUUUUGCAGAAAAUCUGCCAUGAUGGUUUUGUUUUUAAUGAAUAAGGAUUUUCCACAAAACAGGCUUGCUCUACAUGCUAAGUUUUAACAGUUCAGUGACACCAUGUGCUAGCUACAUACACAACAGAUAAUAUAGUAAGAAAACACUCAACCUGAUGAAAAGUUAAAAUCUUCAUUAAUACACUGGAAAAAGUUGACAUAACUCAUGCCUUUUAAAAUCAAAAAUACAAAAAUUAAAUGUUUUGCUAAAAAGAUUUUCCUUAUUUUAAGGACUCAUUUGAAAAUGAAGCUGCAUGUAAUUUGUACAAUAAAAUUGUACAAGUAAACAGGUAAUAUACAUAAAAAAUUAAUUGACAUACUUCUCAAUUAUCAGCUGUCCACCUUUAAUUUCCAAUACUGUACUUUCUUAUCAAGCAUACAAAAUAGCAAACUUCUCUUUAGAAAAAGUGCCGUUCUGUGACAUCUUUUACACAAAACCAGUCCGAGCCUGGGGCGUGGCCAUGCAGUCGAGAGGCAAAGCUUCCCUGACUGGAACAGAUCCUCCCUUCCAGGAGCAGCAGUGGGAAAAGGGGAUUCCCCAGCUGUAAAAAUCCCAGCUGAGCGCUGGAGCCACGGCAGGCUGGGCUGUUCCCUGGACACCAGGGGCUGCUGGCAGCAGGAGUGUCACAGGAGCCCCAGCUGGGGGUGAGGUAUUCCUUGUCCAUCGUGGUGCCACUGCCAGCUGUGCUCUGUCCAGGGGACGUGCCAUGGUUCAGGAUAUUCCCAGUAUCAGUCAUUCUUAUCUAGCCAGUCUCUUGAUUUUUUUGAAAAGGUUUUUCGACUACAGUAGAAUAUUACAGAAAGAAAAUAUAAAUGCAGGGUUGGGGUUGGGUUUUUUUUUUGUUGGUUUUUUGUUUUUUUUUUCUUUCUAAAUGAAACUUACGUGGGCUAAAACUAGAGAAUAUUUUUAAACAAAUAUACAGGAUGCAGGCAGACAAAGCAGGGAAACGGCCAGCCAACUGUU